rnacentral:rRNA from 1 species
GGGGGGAAGGAGAAGGCUAGGUGGGCCUGGCGACGGUUGUCCAGGUUCAAGUGCGUAGGCUUAAGAGUUAGGUAAAUCCGGCUCUUUUUAAGGCUGAGACACGACGUCGAGCUACUACGGUAGUGAAGUCAUUGAUGCCAUGCUUCCAGGAAAAGCCUCUAAGCUUCAGAUUGUAAGGAAUCGUACCCCAAACCGACACAGGUGGUCGGGUAGAG